rnacentral:rRNA from 1 species
UGGGGAAUUUUGCACAAUGGGGGAAACCCUGAUGCAGCGACGCCGCGUGAUUUAGAAGGCCUUCGGGUUGUAAAAAUCUUUUCUAUGGGAAGAAGAUGACAGUACCAUAGGAAUAAGGACCGGCUAAUUACGUGCCAGCAGCCGCGGUAAUACGUAAGGUCCGAGCGUUGUCCGGAAUCAUUGGGCGUAAAGGGUACGUAGGCGGGUAAGCAAGUUAGAAGUGAAAUCCUAUAGCUCAACUAUAGUAAGCUUUUAAAACUGCUCAUCUUGAGGUAUGGAAGGGAAAGUGGAAUUCCUAGUGUAGCGGUGAAAUGCGCAGAUAUUAGGAGGAAUACCGGUGGCGAAGGCGACUUUCUGGCCAUAACCUGACGCUGAGGUACGAAAGCGUGGGUAGCAAACAGG